AAAUAAGAAAGGGACAGGGACAGGGUAAGGGGGAUACCUAGUAAUUUUUUCCAUCAUCACUGCAAGCCAUCAUGACUCUCAAAAGCCGCGACAGCCGCUGUUUACUUCUGAAGAUAACUUUAGCACCGCCCUAAAAACCUGAUUCAAAUUCGACACAAACCUUCAAAUAGGCGUGUUGGAGAGGACAAGUCGUUCAGCUGUUAUUUGGCUCCUGCUGUGACUUCAGAGAACUCACGUUGUUAGAGCCCUUACAUCCCUAGAAAUGGCUAAAGUGUUCCAGUGAUGAACACGAACUCCGCUGCAUUUUGGUCCACUUCUCUCCAUGACGACAGCCCUUACAGAAUUACCCACCACCAAAGGACCAAGCAGUGGAGGAACGAGGAAGAAGGAUGGACGUGAGCGGAGA
rnacentral:lncRNA from 1 species